GUCAUGUGACACUGGUCUUUCUGUAACUUGGCACUGGCUCAGCCACUGUAUUGUGGGCACAAGGCAGUGGGCAGUAAGUGAAGGGGUUGGUGGAACUACCAGGUUGGAAAUACUUUUAGUAUAGAAAUUUUCUUGGAUCUGAAAGUACGAGAUGAUCCACGGUUAAUAAACAGGGAUAGCCAGCGGCAGCAGAACCCACUAGAUCAGCGCGCUUCUGG
rnacentral:lncRNA from 1 species